rnacentral:rRNA from 1 species
GGUUAAGCGACUAAGCGUACACGGUGGAUGCCUAGGCAAUCAGAGGCGAUGAAGGACGUGCUAAUCUGCGAUAAGCGUCGGUAAGGUGAUAUGAACCGUGAUAACCGACGAUUUCCGAAUGGGGAAACCCAGUGCAAUUCGUUGCACUAUCGUUUGAUGAAUACAUAGUCAAACGAAGCGAACCGGGGGAACUGAAACAUCUCAGUACCCCGAGGAAAAGAAAUCAACCGAGAUUCCCCUAGUAGCGGCGAGCGAACGGGGAGCAGCCCAGAGUCUUAAUCAGCAUUAGCAUCAGGAGAACGGUCUGGAAAGUCCGGCAGUAAAGGGUGAUAGCCCCGUAUCCGAAGGUGUUAGUGUUGUGAACUCGACGAGUAGGGCGGGACACGUGUUAUCCUGUCUGAAUAUGGGGGGACCAUCCUCCAAGGCUAAAUACUCCUGAUUGACCGAUAGUGAACCAGUACCGUGAGGGAAAGGCGAAAAGAACCCCGGCGAGGGGAGUGAAAUAGAACCUGAAACCGUGUACGUACAAGCAGUGGGAGC